AUGAUUUCCAGUGGACAAGGAUGUGGUUUUCAGCAGUUGUCUAUAUUCAGACAAAGAGUCAAAUUUGGGCAAUUCAGGUUUGAAAUGGAAAAAGAUCUUCUGGAGAACUCUGAAGUCCAACCUAACUGAAAUGAAUGAUUUAAACUUUGAAUCAAACCUUUCUUUGUUUGCCUCUUUUACUUUACUUAGCUCUGAAUAUGAAAUUAAAUACAGAACCCUCAGG
rnacentral:lncRNA from 1 species